UCCACUAGGUGGCAAGUAUGCUUUGGCCGACGACGGCCGAAGUUUACCGAGCAGGGCCCGGAACUUGCCGUUUGUUGUCAUUGUUUCAUUUGUG